rnacentral:lncRNA from 7 species
CCUUCAGACCCUGUAUCCUGGCAGAUGAAGGAUUGCCAGAGACAAGCACUGAACAGCAGCAGAAAGCCGGUGACUAUUAACACACACUUCUUGACUUAUAUAUGCAACUGUCAGAUGGGACGAUUCAUCCACUUUGUUCAGAGCCAAAAUAUCCAGCUAUGGAGAGUGCGCCUGGGAAGCCUCUACAUUGGUGUGCAUUUCAAUAAUCUCAAAAACAUCUGCAGUACCCUUCUCCACAGACUCUUCUGACGCAGUUUGAAAAUGUUAUAUAGGUGGGAAAUUUCCGUAGCAGAAUGAAGUAUAAAUACUUAUAAACUCACAAUGAGGACGUGAGGCAAAGCGAUUCAAUCCUACAGUUGGCACUAAAACUUUGGUCCCCUGGAGCAAUUCUGUCAUCUUGACCUGAAUAUGGUUCUUCUAUAUACAUUCUGAAGAAUGGCAGUGUGUGACAGGCUUAUGUCGCUCAUGGGGCCUUUAGUUUAUGCAUUCCUGGCACAGCUCUUGCAGUAGCUCAAAACUCCUGGCAGGCUCCCAGGACUCAGAUAUGAAUACACAUGCUCUUCUGUCCUUAAAUUACAUCUGUACUAACCUGAUAUAGUCUCCAGGCCUCCCUUUUCUGGGCAACAUGGUAGAAUUCUUGGGCCAGAGGAAUCUCCGUCAACUGUUUAUCUUUCUGAGCAAUUAUUUGCUACUUGAGAAAAAAAAAAGAAGUUACUAGUUUAAAUAAAAAAUAAAAAUACAGAUUAAAAAAAUUGUACUAGUUAGUUUGUAUUGUCAACUUGACACAAUCUAGAGUUACCUGGGAAGAGGAAAUCUGAACUACUGAGGAAUUGUCCACAAGAGAUUGUCUUGACUGAUGAUUAAUGUGGGAGGAUUAAGCCCACUGUGGGCAGCACCAUUCCUAGGCAGGAGGAUCGGGCUGUAAAAGAAAUCUAGCUUAGUAUGAGCCAGUGAGUGAGACAGCAAGCAACACUCCUCCAUGGUUUUGGUUCAAUUCCCUGUCCUGACUCUCCUCAACAUAGGACUACGAACUGGAAGUACAGAUGAAAUAAAUCCUCUCUUCCCCUAAAUUGCUUUCGGUUGAGUGUUUUAUCAUAGCAACAGAAAAGCAAACUAGAAUAAGAAUGAUAUCAAAUACAUUAGUCUGAGGGAGAAAGAAGAAGAAGAAGAGGAAGAGGAAGAGGGAGGAAGAGGGAGGAAGAGGAAGAGAGAGAAAGAAGAAGAAGAAGAAGAAGAAGAAGAAGAAGAAGAAGAAGAAGAAGAAGAAGAAGAAGAAGAAGAA